UACGAAGGGGGCUAGCGUUGCUCGGAAUCACUGGGCGUAAAGGGUGCGUAGGCGGGUCUUUAAGUCAGGGGUGAAAUCCUGGAGCUCAACUCCAGAACUGCCUUUGAUACUGAGGAUCUUGAGUUCGGGAGAGGUGAGUGGAACUGCGAGUGUAGAGGUGAAAUUCGUAGAUAUUCGCAAGAACACCAGUGGCGAAGGCGGCUCACUGGCCCGAUACUGACGGCUGAGGCACGAAAGCGUGGGGGAGCAAACAGG
rnacentral:rRNA from 1 species